rnacentral:rRNA from 1 species
AUUGAACGCUGGCGGCAUGCCUUACACAUGCAAGUCGAACGGCAGCAUGGAAGAGCUUGCUCUUCUGAUGGCGAGUGGCGAACGGGUGAGUAAAGCAUCGGAACGUACCGUGUAGUGGGGGAUAACGUAGCGAAAGUUACGCUAAUACCGCAUACGCACUGAGGUGGAAAGCAGGGGAUCGCAAGACCUUGCGCUAUACGAGCGGCCGAUGUCAGAUUAGCUAGUUGGUAGGGUAAAGGCCUACCAAGGCGACGAUCUGUAGCGGGUCUGAGAGGAUGAUCCGCAACACUGGGACUGAGACACGGCCCAGACUCCUACGGGAGGCAGCAGUGGGGAAUUUUGGACAAUGGGGGAAACCCUGAUCCAGCCAUGCCGCGUGAGUGAAGAAGGCCUUCGGGUUGUAAAGCUCUUUCGGCUGGGAAGAAAUCGCACAGACUAAUACUCUGUGUGGAUGACGGUACCAGCACAAGAAGCACCGACUAACUACGUGCCAGCAGCCGCAGUAA